rnacentral:rRNA from 1 species
UACGAAGGACCCGAGCGUUAUCCGGAUUUACUGGGUUUAAAGGGUGCGUAGGUGGACCCAUAAGUCAGUGGUGAAAGCCUCCCGCUUAACGGGAGAACUGCCAUUGAUACUGUGGGUCUUGAGUAUAGUUGAGGUAGGCGGAAUAUGUCAUGUAGUGGUGAAAUACUUAGAUAUGACAUAGAACACCGAUUGCGAAGGCAGCUUGCUAAGCUAUAACUGACACUGAUGCACGAAAGCGUGGGGAGCAAACAGGAUUAGAUACCCUGGUAGUCCACGCCCUAAACGAUGAUAACUCGAUGUUGGCGAUACACUGUCAGCGUCCAAGCGAAAGCAUUAAGUUAUCCACCUGGGGAGUACGACCGCAAGGUUGAA